rnacentral:sRNA from 1 species
AUGUAAGAGAAUUAUUUUUGUUCGGUGGGGAUGUAUGAGUAUUGUCACUUUUCGUCUUUAGAUUUGAGCAAGAAUAGUACCACAAUGUGCGAGUCCGCACGAGGAGGCAACAAUUAUGGAACAAGGUAAAGUAAAAUGGUUUAACGCAGAAAAAGGUUUUGGAUUCAUCGAGCGCGAAGGUGGAGACGAUGUAUUCGUACACUUCUCAGCAAUCCAAAGCGAAGGCUUCAAAUCUUUAGACGAAGGUCAAGCUGUAACAUUUGACGUAGAACAAGGUCAACGCGGACCUCAAGCUGCUAACGUUCAAAAAGCAUAAGAAACACAACAUAUCAGAAACAGAUCCUUUAAAGGAUCUGUUUUUUU